AAAUGAAUAGACGGGGGCCCGCACAAGCGGUGGAGCAUGUGGUUUAAUUCGAUGCAACGCGAAGAACCUUACCAAGAUUUGACAUCCCAAUGACCGCUCUAGAGAUAGGGCUUCCCUUCGGGGCAUUGGAGACAGGUGGUGCAUGGUUGUCGUCAGCUCGUGUCGUGAGAUGUUGGGUUAAGUCCCGCAACGAGCGCAACCCUUGCCUUCAGUAGCCAUCAUUAAGUUGGGCACUCUGGAGGGACUGCCGCGGAUAACGCGGAGGAAGGCGGGGAUGAGGUCAAAUCAUCAUGCCCUUUAUGUCUUGGGCAACACACGUGCUACAAUGGCUAUAACAAAGUGACGCAAGCCGGCGACGGCAAGCCAACCACAAAAAAAUAGUCUCAGUUCGGAUUGCAGUCUGCAACUCGACUGCAUGAAGCUGGAAUCGCUAGUAAUCGCGGAUCAGCAUGUCGCGGUGAAUACGUUCCCGGGCCUUGUACACACCGCCCGU
rnacentral:rRNA from 1 species